GAUGAACGCUGGCGGCGUGCCUAAUACAUGCAAGUCGAGCGAACGGACGAGAAGCUUGCUUCUCUGAUGUUAGCGGCGGACGGGUGAGUAACACGUGGAUAACCUACCUAUAAGACUGGGAUAACUUCGGGAAACCGGAGCUAAUACCGGAUAAUAUUUUGAACCGCAUGGUUCAAAAGUGAAAGACGGUCUUGCUGUCACUUAUAGAUGGAUCCGCGCUGCAUUAGCUAGUUGGUAAGGUAACGGCUUACCAAGGCAACGAUGCAUAGCCGACCUGAGAGGGUGAUCGGCCACACUGGAACUGAGACACGGUCCAGACUCCUACGGGAGGCAGCAGUAGGGAAUCUUCCGCAAUGGGCGAAAGCCUGACGGAGCAACGCCGCGUGAGUGAUGAAGGUCUUCGGAUCGUAAAACUCUGUUAUUAGGGAAGAACAUAUGUGUAAGUAACUGUGCACAUCUUGACGGUACCUAAUCAGAAAGCCACGGCUAACUACGUGCCAGCAGCCGCGGUAAUACGUAGGUGGCAAGCGUUAUCCGGAAUUAUUGGGCGUAAAGCGCGCGUAGGCGGUUUUUUAAGUCUGAUGUGAAAGCCCACGGCUCAACCGUGGAGGGUCAUUGGAAACUGGAAAACUUGAGUGCAGAAGAGGAAAGUGGAAUUCCAUGUGUAGCGGUGAAAUGCGCGGAGAUAUGGAGGAACACCAGUGGCGAAGGCGACUUUCUGGUCUGUAACUGACGCUGAUGUGCGAAAGCGUGGGGAUCAAACAGGAUUAGAUACCCUGGUAGUCCACGCCGUAAACGAUGAGUGCUAAGUGUUAGGGGGUUUCCGCCCCUUAGUGCUGCAGCUAACGCAUUAAGCACUCCGCCUGGGGAGUACGACCGCAAGGUUGAAACUCAAAGGAAUUGACGGGGACCCGCACAAGCGGUGGAGCAUGUGGUUUAAUUCGAAGCAACGCGAAGAACCUUACCAAAUCUUGACAUCCUUUGACAACCCUAGAGAUAGAGCUUUCCCCUUCGGGGGACAAAGUGACAGGUGGUGCAUGGUUGUCGUCAGCUCGUGUCGUGAGAUGUUGGGUUAAGUCCCGCAACGAGCGCAACCCUUAAGCUUAGUUGCCAUCAUUAAGUUGGGCACUCUAAGUUGACUGCCGGUGACAAACCGGAGGAAGGUGGGGAUGACGUCAAAUCAUCAUGCCCCUUAUGAUUUGGGCUACACACGUGCUACAAUGGACAAUACAAAGGGCAGCGAAACCGCGAGGUCAAGCAAAUCCCAUAAAGUUGUUCUCAGUUCGGAUUGUAGUCUGCAACUCGACUACAUGAAGCUGGAAUCGCUAGUAAUCGUAGAUCAGUAUGCUACGGUGAAUACGUUCCCGGGUCU
rnacentral:rRNA from 1 species